AUUCCCUACGGGAGGCAGCAGUGAGGAAUAUUGGUCAAUGGGCGCAGGCCUGAACCAGCCAAGUAGCGUGAAGGAUGACUGCCCUAUGGGUUGUAAACUUCUUUUAUAUGGGAAUAAAGUUUUCCACGUGUGGAAUUUUGUAUGUACCAUAUGAAUAAGGAUCGGCUAACUCCGUGCCAGCAGUCGCGGUAAUAAGGAGGAUCCGAGCGUUAUCCGGAUUUAUUGGGUUUAAAGGGAGCGUAGGUGGAUCAUUAAGUCAGUUGUGAAAGUUUGCGUCUCAACCGGAAAA
rnacentral:rRNA from 1 species